UAGGGAAUCUUCCGCAAUGGGCGAAAGCCUGACGGAGCAACGCCGCGUGAGUGAUGAAGGUCUUCGGAUCGUAAAACUCUGUUAUUAGGGAAGAACAAAUGUGUAAGUAACUAUGCACGUCUUGACGGUACCUAAUCAGAAAGCCACGGCUAACUACGUGCCAGCAGCCGCGGUAAUACGUAGGUGGCAAGCGUUAUCCGGAAUUAUUGGGCGUAAAGCGCGCGUAGGCGGUUUUUUAAGUCUGAUGUGAAAGCCCACGGCUCAACCGUGGAGGGUCAUUGGAAACUGGAAAACUUGAGUGCAGAAGAGGAAAGUGGAAUUCCAUGUGUAGCGGUGAAAUGCGCAGAGAUAUGGAGGAACACCAGUGGCGAAGGGGACUUUCUGGUCUGUAACUGACGCUGAUGGGCGAAAGCGUGGGGAUCAAACAGG
rnacentral:rRNA from 1 species